AGUGAACGCUGGCGGUAGGCCUAACACAUGCAGGUCGAACGGCAGCACAGUAAGAGCUUGCUCUUACGGGUGGCGAGUGGCGGACGGGUGAGGAAUACAUCGGAAUCUACUUUUUCGUGGGGGAUAACGUAGGGAAACUUACGCUAAUACCGCAUACGACCUACGGGUGAAAGCAGGGGAUCUUCGGACCUUGCACGAUUGAAUGAGCCGAUGUCGGAUUAGCUAGUUGGCGGGGUAAAGGCCCACCAAGGCGACGAUCCGUAGCUGGUCUGAGAGGAUGAUCAGCCACACUGGAACUGAGACACGGUCCAGACUCCUACGGGAGGCAGCAGUGGGGAAUAUUGGACAAUGGGCGCAAGCCUGAUCCAGCCAUACCGCGUGGGUGAAGAAGGCCUUCGGGUUGUAAAGCCCUUUUGUUGGGAAAGAAAAGCAGCAGGUUAAUACCCCGCUGUUCUGACGGUACCCAAAGAAUAAGCACCGGCUAACUUCG
rnacentral:rRNA from 1 species